rnacentral:lncRNA from 12 species
ACAUUAUGGAGCUAUUAUGUGACUCUGUGAAGUCACAGAAAAGAAGCAUGGUGAAUCACAAGGUAUUACUCAUUUUCAAAUGUGAUCUGGUAUGAGAACCAUCCUACCAAAACCCACCACUGCUGUUUAUAUAGAAAAUAUUGGUAACAUCCUUGCCACUACUCUUUGUCUAAGAAGGGAAGGGACCAGCUUUACCAGUUUUCCCAUGUGGUCUGUGAUGAAAGAAGAGUUCUUACUGAAACAAAUGUGACACCUGACUGCAGUGGUUGCCGUGAGAGAGAAAUUGUGUGGUCAGUAAGAUAACUCCUUGCCUCAUUCAACCACUUAUGUCACUGGAAAUGCCUGCUAAACUGCCAUUUCUUGAGGGGAAGUGAAUAGUUGAGAAGGAAAAUGGCCAAGCUCAACAGCACAAAUUAUAUAAUUGCAGAACAUGUUAAAGAGAGAUUAUUGAGUGAAAUGGGCUGGAUGAUUUACUUCAAAUCUGCUCAGUAAAGAUUUUACACUGAGAAACAUGGGACAGUGCCAAGGUUAAUCACUUGCAUUGCUUGUCCAUAGCAAACACUCCCUGCGUAGACAUCUAUCUGCUCUUUAGAACAAAGAAACUAUAGAGUGUAAUCACAGAGGAAGAAUGAAAGAUCAAACCCUCUGUAUCAUAUAUUCAAUACAAAAAUAUAUUAUUUUACAUUGCCACAUGUCACUAAUGAAACCACGAAGUUAACACAGC